GCCGGGCUGCCGGGAUAGUGGCCGCGGCAGCAAAGUAUGAGGGGGUGGUGGUAUUCCCGCGUUCCGCCUCUCUCACGCCCCGGCGGCGGCAGAAGUUUGGGCUGUUGGGCUGAGGCGACGUCGCCUUGCAGCGUGCUCUGUGGACAGUGUCCCUGACCUCAGAGAAGCUCCAAGUAAUUACAGUGGUGAAAGAACAUUAACACAAAAAGACUUCUCUCCUCCUACGCUGAGACCUGAGCUUGCAGUUAUUCUCACGAUGAAUGUCAAGCAAGGUAAUACGUGGGAAACAAGGCAUCACUGACCCCUUGGCCUGCAAAACUGAAGAUGGCAGCUGACACCUUAGACGUUUACUGUUUUGCUGUCACUCUUUGCUGCAGUCAAAAUACAGCUUUUACAGUGAGAAGAGUAAAGAGCUCGAGUACAUUAGGAAAGAAGCAACAUGAGAACUUCUGUAAAGACUGUCUAGUUGAAGGCCUGGUAGACAGUUGGAAGCCAGAAUAAGAGCAGUUCCCCAGAGAGACACUGAGUGUGCAGGAAUGAAAACACAAGAUGCUGAUGUCUGUUACCAGUGUUCACAAACAUGGUUUGGAAUAUUCCUUCAAAGAAACGAGCAAACAAACGUACAAACCACUCAAAACCAACCAACCAAACCAAUACGAAAAAAGCAAAAAACCAAACCAACAACAACAAAAAAAACCCAAACAAAAAAAAACAACCAAUCAGAGAAAACCCAAACAAACAAAAAACCCAGAUGUGCUUGGGUUUUAACCAGCUCUUUCAGAAGCAAACACGCUCUUCGUGUAGUGACCUGGUUUAACACAACCCACUCUCACAAGCCCCUGUCCCCAACACAAAUAGAAGGCAAAUGAAUGCAAGAAAAGACUUCAGGGCCUUGGGGAGAUUACUUGAGGGUUUGAGAGCACAAAUGGUCAUCUCCUCAAUCCCUCCAGUGACAGCAAGUGAUACUGAAGGGAAAAGGAAAUUCCAUGCAAUUAAUACAUAGCUUAGAGAAUGGUGCCAUCAACAGAACUUUGGGAGGUUUGACCAUGGGGAAGUGUUCUUGGCACCAAAUCUACUGCGCCACUUAGCCAUACACAAGUGGGGCCGAAUGGGCUGCAUCCAGUGGUGCUGAAGGAGUUGGCAGAUGUGCUCACCAAGCCACUAUCCAUUAUUUACUAGACGUCCUGGCUAACUGGAGAGCUGCCAGCGGGCUGGUGGAUAGCAAAUGUAAUGCCUGUCUACAAGAAGGGCAAAAAGGAAACUGUAGACCUGUCAGUCUGACCUUGGUACCAGGGAAGGUCAUGGAGCAGGUCAUCUCAAAUGCCAUCAUAUGUGAUAAAGACAACAAGCAGGGGAUUGGGCUGAGUCAGCAUGGGUUUUUGAGAGGC